rnacentral:piRNA from 1 species
UGCCUCAAUAGAUUGCUCACU